CUUUUUUAUUGCUGAGUAUUAUUCCAUAAUAUUGUUUGGAUGCACUACAAUGUGUUUAUUACCCUCCAAGCAUCUUGUUU